CGCGGUAUGGGCUUCACCUCCGCUACCACGGGGAUCCGGAGCAGCUGCGGAGGGAUUAUGGACCGGUAUUAAGACAACGGGGCUGCAGAAGCGUGGAAGAAUUCGAGACAGUAAUCCAAGAGGUUGAAAAAGAAGUCCAGAGGAGAAAGGAAUUAGAGUACUGCUCCAGGGAAAGGAAAGCAAUAAUUUCCCAGAACUACAAGCCAAAGCAUCCUCAACUGUAUAC